rnacentral:rRNA from 1 species
CCGCGUGAAGGAUGAAGGUCUUCGGAUUGUAAACUUCUUUUAGUAGGGAACGAAUAAAUUGACGGUACUCUCAGAAAAAGCCACGGCUAACUACGUGC